rfam:Triticum aestivum genome assembly, contig: Triticum_aestivum_CS42_TGACv1_scaffold_060300_1BS
AGAGUAGUACUAGGAUGGGUGACCUCCUGGGAAGUCCUCGUGUUGCAUUCC